CCGCUGGCCCGCCCUAGGAGACUAAGGCUUUCCCUUCGGGGGACAGCGGUGACAGGGUGGGUGCAUGGUUGUCGUCAGCUCGUGUCGUGAGAUGUUUGGGUUUAAGUCCCGCAACCGAGCGCAACCCCUUGAUCUUAGUUUGCCAGCAUUCAGUUGGGGCACUCUAAGGUGACUGCCGGUGACAAACCGGAGGAAGGUGGGGAUGACGUCAAAUCAUCAUGCCCCUUAUGACCUGGGCUACACACGUGCUACAAUGGACGGUACAAAGGGCUGCAAACCCGCGAGGGGGAGCCAAUCCCAGAAAACCGUUCUCAGUUCGGAUUGCAGGCUGCAACUCGCCUGCAUGAAGCCGGAAUCGCUAGUAAUCGUGGAUCAGCAUGCCACGGUGAAUACGUUCCCGGGCCUUGUACACACCGCCCGUCACACCACGAGAGUUUGUAACACCCGAAGUCGGUGAGGUAACCCUUGUGGAGCCAGCCGCCGAAGUG
rnacentral:rRNA from 2 species